GCACACAUAGCUCAGUUGGUAGAGCAUCUGACUUUUAAUCAGCAGGUCGCAGGUUCGAUCCCUGCUGUGUGCA